UUGUUGCGUCGGCUGUGAAAACCUGAGGCUCAACCUCAGGCCUGCAGUCGAUACGAGCAGACUAGAGUGUUGCAGGGGAGACUGGAAUUCCUGGUGUAGCGGUGAAAUGCGCAGAUAUCAGGAGGAACACCGGUGGCGAAGGCGGGUCUCUGGGCAACAACUGACGCUGAGGAGCGAAAGCGUGGGGAGCGAACAGGAUUAGAUACCCUGGUAGUCCACGCCGUAAACGUUGGGCGCUAGGUGUGGGGCUCAUUCCACGAGUUCCGUGCCGCAGCUAACGCAUUAAGCGCCCCGCCUGGGGAGUACGGCCGCAAGGCUAAAACUCAAAGGAAUUGACGGGGGCCCGCACAAGCGGCGGAGCAUGUUGCUCAAUUCGAUGCAACGCGAAGAACCUUACCUAGGCUUGACAUGCACGGAAAUCCUCCAGAGAUGGUGGGUCCGUAAGGGCCGUGCACAGGUGGUGCAUGGUUGUCGUCAGCUCGUGUCGUGAGAUGUUGGGUUAAGUCCCGCAACGAGCGCAACCCUCGUUCUAUGUUGCCAGCACGUGAUGGUGGGGACUCAUAGGAGACUGCCGGGGUCAACUCGGAGGAAGGUGGGGAUGACGUCAAAUCAUCAUGCCCCUUAUGUCUAGGGCUGCAGACAUGCUACAAUGGCCGGUACAAAGGGCUGCGAUACCGCGAGGUGGAGCGAAUCCCAAAAAGCCGGUCUCAGUUCGGAUUGGGGUCUGCAACUCGACCCCAUGAAGUUGGAGUCGCUAGUAA
rnacentral:rRNA from 1 species